GGCAAUACCAUGAUUGUAUAGCCGGAAGGGAAAGUAGAGUUUCCUGAUCCCCGCCCCACAACGGGCCUUCAUUUCAGCAAAGCAGACAGGCAGUUUCUAGGGAAGUACAUUCUCAGGCUGGUAUAAAAAGUGGUGGCAGAGCUGGAGAGAGCUCGCUGUUGAGAGUGCCUGCUGCCUUGGCAGAGGUUCCCAGCACCAACACGACUCACUCCCCCCGUUACUCCAGUUCCAGGGGUCAGAAAACCUCUGUGCGUGCUUGCAGACAGAUGCACACAGCAACACAGAGACACACAAGCAUGGAAACUGGAGGCAGUGUGCUCUGGAGCGUGGGUGACUCAGGAGUGCCCUGACAAGCAGAGCCAGAAGAAGAGCUGGGUCUCAGGAUCUGCUGUGUGAAAACACUUCUCUAUUACACUAUCUAGAAAUCAUUUCACUUCCUCCUAAAGCCACUGCAACGAACGGUAACUGUUUCUCUGGUUUAGUCCAAAGAUCCAGCCACUCCUCAGCUCUUAAACACAACACCCCUCCCUGAGGAUCACACGACUAGGACAUCUCGUCAUCAAGAGGGACGGCUGGGAGCUGGGGAGCUAACUCAGCAGAGGGGCAGGAAUUGAACCAGGACCUUGUACAAGCUAGCCAAAGCACUGAACUACAAAGCAACAAUCAUAGAAAGAUGACUAAUCACCUUGCCUGACAAAUUCUAUCCACUUGGUCAUUUCUUCAGGCCGCAGCCUCUCAACCUUUUAAUACCCAACCUUUUAAUACUUUUGGGACCUGUUGAAAUUCUUUUAUGGAACAAUUAAGAUAGAGCAUUUGAGUGUGAAUGAAGACUUAAGUCUUGAAGAGUCUUUCACUGCAUAAAGGAAGGUAGAAGGUAUCCGGGGACUCCAGGCCCCAGUUAUGGGUCUUAGCAAGCUCUCUGCCCUUUCUGGGCCUUAGCAUUCUUAUCCAUGGUAACCACAGCUGAAGUAGGGUAAGCUUAGGAGAGCCCAAGGCAAGAACAUGGCAAAUAAACAUUUGUUUCACUGCCUUUCCAUAUGGACCUAAAGCAACCGUGGCGGGUAAGGGUCAGGGGACGAUCUUGGAGCCAGCUCUAGGAAGUUGCUCAACUGCAUGCCUGGGAUGCAAUGGCCUUGGGAGAAGAAAUGGGGAAGGGAGGUCUCAGGAACUGCCUAAGCAAAUCAUACGGCCACUUACCUCUCAAAAAUCUCCUGCUCCUUCUGCUGUAAGAGAAGAAAGCAAGGUCAGGCUGGCUGCACUCCAGCAAGUGGACAAGACCCGAACAUGCUUCACUGCAUACAACUGUGUAGAUGCAGACUCUACAGCAAAGACCAAGCACAAAGCUUUCUGGGUUGCUAUCUCUCACAUACUCACAAGCUCCUCUGCCCUCCCAACACACACAAAGAAUGGAUCACCCAUUGCCAUCUACCCUGAGGCAUUCCCGGUUCCCCUCAUCCCCACUUCAGGACCAUCCUCUAUAGACUCAGCUCCCCACUGCCCCCCCAACCCCCCAUGGAGAUUAUAGGCUCCUGGAUUGCUGUUGGCUUUCUGAAUCCAUUAUGGUGACUAUCCCGGUGGCCAGGACGGAAUGUGCCCUCGCCUGGAAGCUGGUGCUGAAUGAAUGCAGAAUCUAGGACAGUCUCCACCACUGCCCUACUUGAAAGGCAGGGGCUGGCUGGUUGUUCUGCAUUCCACUCCAUUCUGCAGUGUUACUCAGAUGUUUCAAUGUCCCCUCAAAACUGGAGGCAUCUCCAUAUCUAUAAAGUACUUUGAAAAGCAA